CUGUCCCUGGGCAAUGGAAUGUCUCGGUAUAAAACCCGAUUGUACGUUCUAUCUACUGAGAUAGGGAAAAACCGCCUUAGGGCUGGAGGUGGGACAUGCGGGCAGCAAUACUGCUUUGUAAAGCAUUGAGAUGUUUAUGUGAAUGCAUACCUAAAAGCACAGCACUUAAUCCUUUACCUUGUCUAUGAUGCAAAGACCUUUGUUCACAUGUUUCUCUGCUGACCCUCUCUCCACAAUUGUCUUGUGACCCUGACACAUCCCCCUCUCGGAGAAACACCCACGAAUGAUCAAUACUAAGGGAACUCAGAGGCUGGCGGGAUCCUCCAUAUGCUGGACGCUGGUUCCCCGGGCCCCCUUAUUUCUUUCUCUAUACUUUGUCUCUGUGUCUUUUUCUUUUCCAAGUCUCUCGUUCCACCUUAUGAGAAACACCCACAGGUGUGGAGGGGCAACCCACCCCUACAGAAGGGGCCACUGGGGCAGGGAAGAGACAGAUGUUGGAUUUUAGAGGAUCCGGUAAAGGAUGCUACUCUUCUCCAUCCAAGUUUGAAAGCGACUGAGAGAGACACACAACAGUCAGACAGAGAGAGAUCAAAAUAUUUUCCUGUGACUUAAGAGCAAUGGCCAAGCUGGCUUCCUGCUAUCCUACCCUUGAACUUGACAUUCACCCACUGAAAAUGCCCAGUCCCUGGCUCAGUGGGGAUACCAGAGGCUGCUAACUGCCAGGCAGCAACAGACCAAUAAAGGCUUCCAAAAGAGAUGGUGCGCUGGGCUGGGCAUGCCCAGGAGCUCCUCCCACGCUUGGCCAUCAGAUUAGGAUCCUGAGACCCGGAGAAGUUAAGCAACCUGUCCAAGUUCACACAACAUGCCCACAGGCCUGCAACUUGGUCGGACUUGGCUGUGUGGCUUUGCUGCAGAUGGUGGGUCCAGCUCAGCCCAGCUGCAUGUCUCACCCUGGGGCCCGAUAAUAGUCAAGGAUCUCCAGAGAAAUGGAACCGAUAGUGUGUAUGUGUAUACAGAUGAGGAGAUUUAUUAUGAAAAUUGGCUCGCGUGAUGAUAGAGGCCAAGAAGUCCCACGAUCUGCCGUCUGCAAGCUGAGGACCAGGAAAGCUAGUCAUAUAUGUAAUUCAGACUGAAUCUGAAGGCCCAAGAACCAGGAGCACGUGGAUGUCCCAGCUCAAGAAGAGACAGAGACUUCUCCCUUCCUCUGCCUUUCUGUUGUAUUCAGGCACUUAAUGGGACUGGGUGCUGCCCACCCCUUUUGGCGAGAACAACCUUCUUUUAUUUAUUUAUUUAUUUUCUGAAAUGGAGUCUCGCUCUGUCACCUAGGCUGGAGUGCAGUGGCGCGAUAUUGGCUCACUGCAACCUUUGCCUCCCAGGUUCAAGAGAUUCUCCUGCAUCAGCCCCCCGAGUAGCUGGGAUUACAGGCAUGCACCACCAUGCCCUGCUAAUUUCUGUAUUUUUAGUAGAGAUGGGGUUUCGCCAUAUUGGCCAGGCUAGUCUCCAACUCCUGACCUCAAGUGAUCCACCUGCCUCAACCUCCCAAAGUGCUGGGAUCACAGAUGUGAGCCACCACGCCUGGCCUAAGAGCAACCUUCUUUACUCAGUCCAUUGAUUAAAAUGCUAUUCUUUUCCAGAAACACUCUCACAGACACGCCCAGAAAUAAUACCAGCUAUCUGGAUACCCUUAGCCCAGUUAAGCCUAUAAAAUUAACCAUCACAGGCCUGGACUGAAGGGGCAGCAGCAGCCAUCUGGGAGGUAUUUAUUCUUCCAGUGGCUACAGCAAAAGCAUAAGGAACCAGGAAAGCUAGUUUCAGCUUCUGUUCACGUCUGAACAGCAAGUCCUGGCAAGUCACAUGAUCAAGCUGAAAGUCUAGAAGAAGAGAGUACACUCCAUCCACAAGGAGGCCACGGUUGAUGGGUAAAAUGCUAAACACCACUACAGGGUAAUGAAGAAUUGGGAUCAAGAACUCAAACUUUCACAGAAGGGAAGGGCCCAGGGCUGGGCAACCCAGCCUGUGGCCAGAUAUCAGGGUGGGAACUCUCUAGAAGCCAAGAGUGGCCCCGAGCUCCUUCCAGUUUUGGAAACUCC
rnacentral:lncRNA from 1 species